CUGCUUUUCAUAGCUCAGUUUUACGAAGGCGUUCAGUAAAAGUAUUAUUUGUACAUUUUUACUUUCAAAAAAAUCAGUGAAAAAUCGAUAAUAUAAAUUUUAGUUUUCCAUAUCAGAAUUUUUCAACAUUUUUGUGAACGAACUUUAACUUUUAAAUUUACAUUCAUUCCUUAAAUUUUUCGGGUUCGCGUGAAAUUUAAAUUUUUCAAGUGGCAAGUUAACAAGACGAAGAAAUAACAAACGCAAACGAAUAUGUCUCUAACCACGACCGGUAAAGUUAGCGAAAGCCCGAGCAUGAGCAAUGGAUCGUUGAUAAAAAAUGGAUUUCUUAAUUACAUGCGCGACUUCUGUCGACGCAACAGUAACUUGAGCUGGCUGGAGUCCGCAAAGGAGGGUGCGAGGUCCUGGAAGCAAAUGACCGAGGAGGAAAAAGAUCGCUACCGCACCGGUCCCAUUACCGACAUGGGGAUCCUUGCCAUGACUAUUGAUAAUGAACCGACUCAACGACCAAGUGACAUGUGCAACCAUCCAAUGGCCAAGAGCAGCGCAAAGUCUAAAAAAUCCUGCGCGAAACCGAAGAAAUCCUGUGCCAUGACGAAAAAGAUGGCGGCCUGUGGCAAGCCGAAGAGGAUGGCUUGCGCCAAGCCAAAGAAGGCGGCUUGUGCCAAGCCAAGGAAGGCGGCAUGUGCCAAGCCAGCGAGAAAGCCGGCUUGCCCCAAGCCAAAAAAGAGCGCGUGCGCAACAGAACAAAAAUACAAGUGCAGCAAGCCGGGUCCGAUUACCAAUAACGGGUAUCUGAACUUUGUGCGUGCGUUCCGCAAGAAGAACUGUGACCUCAAGCCGCAGGAACUGAUCAUGAAGGCCGCCAAAGCUUGGUCCAUGUUGCCGGAGGAGAAAAAGGAUCGCUAUCGCCGCAUGGUAAGCGUUUCUAUUGGACAUCUUCCCUUUCCUUGACAGUAAAACACGCAUCUAAACAAGGGACUUUACUUUUGUCGAGAGAUUUAUUCAAUUAUGGCCUGUAAGGUGACCCAUAGCAAACGUCAUCAGCGUCGCCGUGUCUGCAAACCCUGCUAAAUUCCCCUCCAAUCAAGUCAUGUCUUCAAAUCCAAGUCAGCGAAUCCUGUUUCAUUUCAUGCGACUUCCGUUUGUAGAUGUUAGAUGUUUUAUUUCAAAGCAAGUGUACCUCGUCAUUUUACAAAAUUGUAAUUAUUUUUAAAUUAUAAGCAAAUAACAGUCGUCAA